rnacentral:rRNA from 1 species
UACGUAGGGGGCAAGCGUUGUCCGGAAUCAUUGGGCGUAAAGAGCGCGUAGGCGGUCCGGUAAGUCCGCUCUGAAAGCCCGGGGCUCAACCCCGGGAGGCGGGCGGAUACUGUCGGGCUAGAGUCCGGAAGAGGCGAGUGGAAUUCCUGGUGUAGCGGUGAAAUGCGCAGAUAUCAGGAGGAACACCGAUGGCGAAGGCAGCUCGCUGGGACGGUACUGACGCUGAGAUGCGAAAGCGUGGGGAGCAAACAGG